rnacentral:tRNA from 2 species
GGGGGUGUCGCAUAGUGGCAAUUGCAGGGGACUGUAAAUCCCCCGACUUCGGUCUUCGUGUGUUCGAGUCACACCGCCCCCA